AGUGAACGCUGGCGGUAGGCCUAACACAUGCAAGUCGAACGGCAGCACAGUAAGAGCCUGCUCUUACGGGUGGCGAGUGGCGGACGGGUGAGGAAUACAUCGGAAUCUACUUUUUCGUGGGGGAUAACGUAGGGAAACUUACGCUAAUACCGCAUACGACCUACGGGUGAAAGCAGGGGAUCUUCGGACCUUGCGCGAUUGAAUGAGCCGAUGUCGGAUUAGCUAGUUGGCGGGGUAAAGGCCCACCAAGGCGACGAUCCGUAGCUGGUCUGAGAGGAUGAUCAGCCACACUGGAACUGAGACACGGUCCAGACUACUACGGGAGGCAGCAGUGGGGAAUAUUGGACAAUGGGCGCAAGCCUGAUCCAGCCAUACCGCGUGGGUGAAGAAGGCCUUCGGGUUGUAAAGCCCUUUUGUUGGGAAAGAAAAGCAGCAGGUUAAUACCCCGCUGUUCUGACGGUACCCAAAGAAUAAGCACCGGCUAACUUCGUG
rnacentral:rRNA from 1 species